AAGUCGUAACAAGGUUUCCGUAGGUGAACCUGCGGAAGGAUCAUUAUCACGUUAUCCACGUUAUUACCAACCGUGAACUGUUCGGUCCGCAUAAGAAAUUAUGUGUUAGACCAAAACCCCAAUUUUGAGAAGUUCCGUUCGUUCGAACGAGCAGCUCUUUUUUGGGUGAUUUGAACCAUUAACCAAUUGAACAAAUUAUAAUACUUUUUAUGUACUUACUAGUUGUUUCUUACCUUUGUUCACUCAGAGGAAGAAAUGUUAUAAAUACGUAACAUGAAAAAAAGAACAACUCUUAGCAACGGAUAUCUAGGUUCUC
rnacentral:misc_RNA from 1 species